ACUCCUACGGGAGGCAGCAGUGGGGAAUAUUGCACAAUGGAGGAAACUCUGAUGCAGCAACGCCGCGUGGAGGAUGACACAUUUCGGUGCGUAAACUCCUUUUAUAUGGGAAGAUAAUGACGGUACCAUAUGAAUAAGCACCGGCUAACUCCGUGCCAGCAGCCGCGGUAAUACGGAGGGUGCAAGCGUUACCCGGAAUCACUGGGCGUAAAGCGCGCGCAGGCGGCUAUUUAAGUUGGAUGUGAAAGCCUACGGCUCAACCGUAGAACUGCAUCCAAAACUAUUUAGCUAGAGUGUGGGAGAGGAAGAUGGAAUUAGUUGUGUAGGGGUAAAAUCCGUAGAGAUAACUAGGAAUACCAAAAGCGAAGGCAAUCUUCUGGAACACUACUGACGCUGAGGCGCGAAAGCGUGGGGAGCAAACAGGAUUAGAUACCCUGGUAGUCCACGCAGUAAACGAUGAAUGUUAGUCGUCGGGGGCCUAGUGUCUUCGGUGAUGCAGCUAACGCAUUAAACAUUCCGCCUGGGGAGUACGGUCGCAAGAUUAAAACUCAAAGGAAUAGACGGGGACCCGCACAAGUGGUGGAGCAUGUGGUUUAAUUCGAAGAUACGCGAAGAACCUUACCUAGCCUUGACAUAUUUAAGAACUCCGUAGAGAUACAGAGGUGCCUUCGGGAGCUUUCUUACAGGUGCUGCACGGCUGUCGUCAGCUCGUGUCGUGAGAUGUUGGGUUAAGUCCCGCAACGAGCGCAACCCUCGUCACUAGUUACUAACGGUUCGGCCGAGGACUCUAGUGGGACUGCCUUCGCAAGGAGGAGGAAGGUGAGGACGACGUCAAGUCAUCAUGGCCCUUACGGCUAGGGCAACACACGUGCUACAAUGGCCAGGACAAUGAGACGCAAUACC
rnacentral:rRNA from 1 species